rnacentral:rRNA from 1 species
UGACAAAGUUCAACGGCCGCGGUACCCUAACCGUGCGAAGGUAGCAUAAUCACUUGUUCUUUAAAUGAGGACUCGUAUCAACGGCACUACGAGGGCUAUACUGUCUCCUUUUUCUAAUCAGUGAAACUGAUCUCCCCGUGAAGAAGCGGGGAUCAAAAUAUAAGACGAGAAGACCCCAUGGAGCUUUAAACUCACUAUACACCUCUGUGCCUUUAUGUCACUAGACACAAGAGAUCUGCGUACUAGUUUUAGGUUGGGGGGACCACGGAGUAUAAUUUAACCUCCAUAACAAAUGGGCUAACACCCUUAUCUACGAGACACAACUCUAAGAAUUACUAAACUAAUGCUUAUGACCCAAUAUUCGAUCAAUGAACCAAGUUACCCUGGGGAUAACAGCGCAAUCUACUUCAAGAGCCCAUAUCGACAAGUGGGUUUACGACCUCGAUGUUGGAUCAGGGUAUCCCGGUGGUGCAGCCGCUACCGACGGUUCGUUUGUUCAACGAUUAAAACCCUACGUGAUCUGAG